UACGGAGGGGGCAAGCGUUGUUCGGAAUUACUGGGCGUAAAGGGCGCGCAGGCGGCUGCUCAAGUCAGGCGUGAAAGGCCAGGGCUCAACCCGGGAAUUGCGCUUGAGACUGGGCUGGCUUGAGUGCGGGAGAGGAUGGUGGAAUUCCCAGUGUAGAGGUGAAAUUCGUAGAUAUUGGGAAGAACACCGGUGGCGAAGGCGGCCAUCUGGACCGCAACUGACGCUGAGGCGCGAAAGCGUGGGGAGCAAACAGG
rnacentral:rRNA from 1 species